rnacentral:lncRNA from 1 species
AUGGCAGACCGUGACAGAAUAAUCCCACCAACCACCAUGGACCCAGCAGACUCAAGAGUUGCCACGGAGGAGGGAUCGCUCACACAGCUGUGGGGUUACUGCCAGAGCGUAACCCAGGCUGUGGAUCCACACAUGAGACACAUACAGGUAGUGUUUUUUGAUAAUUAUCUUUCCUCCACUACCUUCUCUACGAGCUUUCUGGAUAUUGAUAAACUCAUUCAAAUUAUAACUGAGCUGCGGGCAAGCUCCAGCUUCGAACUGUUUGGUUUGGGCUGUCCGGGCAAGGAGGAUGCGGCUGCCUCCCUGGCAGCCCUUGCUGCUUGGUUUUUUCUUCAUAGGUGGAGAGUUUUUCCACCACCGCUUGCUGCUCACCUAUUGGACCCUCCACUGCAGGGAAGACGGCGCCCUGCUCCAUCUCCUCUCGUUCCUUCAGCGUCCUCUGUGUCGGCAGACAAAGGAUCGGCAGCGCUGGUAACCACAGUGAGUAAACCGGACUCUGUCUCCUUACUUAAUCCAGUCUCUCACGAGCAGGAGGGGACAGAUUCCUUUGACGCGGCCCCGCCAUCACGAAAGAGACGGCGUCGGCGUCAUCUUCGUCAAAUCGAAGCUCACCUCACUCCUGUGGUUUCGGAGGAACCAGCUGACUCAGGACUAGCCGCACAAGGAGCCGCAGUGAGUGAGACGGACUCUGAUGUUGGUAAAGACGUUUUUGUUAUGAAACCAGAGAUGGCUUCGUCUAAACCUAGGGACAGUGCCCAGUCAGUUAAUAAUAAAACUGGGCUCGCAAUGGAGGAUAAGCUUAAAGGGUCUGCAUUGCCAGAAAGUGGAGGCGGGCCGGAAGCUAAUUCUGGGUCAUUUCUUAAUGUAAGGAGUAGUGAUGGCUGCUUUUCUGGGGCUGGAUGCGGAGCCUUAGUUUCUGAGCCAGUUAGCUCUGGGACGGUGAACUCUGAAGGCGCUGGUGCGGCAGCUAAAUGGACAGAGGCUGUUAAUUCAGAGUUACUGCACUGUGCUAAUAUGCAUCCUGAAACUGUUUUUGUGGCUGUUGAUUUGUUAAAGGACCCGGUGCUAGAACAUGAACCUGCCACUACAGGCAAUCAGGAGGCUGGGAUUCUCCCCAAGGCCUCCCCAGAGGCCGAACUGGAGACCUCAGUUGCCUCUGGCUCCCUGGACAUUGUAGAGCCCGCGGUAACAUGUUCCUCCUCUCUACCCUUCAUGUUAGCCAUAUCACCCUCGACUCAGUCUGCUGCCCAGCACGUAACUCAGUCUGCUGCCCAGCACAUAACUCAGUCUUUAGUCCAGUCAACCUCUCAUCUUCAUCCUCAGUUGGAGGCCGGUAUGCCUGCUGGACCAACUCUGCCAUCUUUUCACCCGUCUGUUGUUCCUGCAUCGCUGCCCAGUCUACCACGAGUAGCUGCCACACCAUCGUCACCUCCGCCCUCUGCAGCUACUUCUCCACCAGCGUCUCAUCAGACUGCAGCGACCGCAGCACUCUCGGCUUCACCAUCCACAUCACCCGCUCGACCAUCAUCUUCACCGCCUGCAGCUACCGCAUCACCAUCUUCGCCUCCGGAUCAACCAUCUAAGCCCGCGUCGCAGCCGGAGGAGCAGCUCAGCGAGCGGGGGAGCCCGCGUCGCAGCCGGAGGAGCAGCUCAGCGAGCGGGGGGAGCCCGCGUCGCAGCCGGAGGUGCUUGCGCCGCCAGCUGUGGAGCUCAGCAAGCCGGAGGAGCUCGGCGAGCGGGAGGAGCUCGGCGAGCGGGAGGAGCCCGCGUCGCCAGCUGCGGAGCUCAGCAAGCCCGAGCAGGAGCUCGGCGAGCGGGAGGAGCUCAGCGAGCGGGAGGAGCCCGCGUCGCCAGCGGUGGAGCUCAGUGAGCCGGAGGAGCUCAGCGAGCCCGAGCUGGAGCUCAGCGAGUGGGAGGAGCGGCCACCAUCAAGAGAGGGGCUCGGCGGGCCGGAGAAGCGCGCACCGCCAUCGGAGGUCGACGUGCAGGAUGCAUCUUUACAUCCACGCCUUCCACGUCCAGCGCGCCGUCCACGCCGUCCACGUCCAGCGCGCCGUCCACGCCGUCCACGUCCAGCGCGCCGUCCACGCCGUCCACGUCCAGCGCGCCGUCCACGUCCAGCGCGUCGGGAUCCUGGGCCUUUCAACUCUGUCGGCCGCCGGAGCUGCAACACCGCCGCCACCGGACCCGUGGCAGGCCACCGGAGCUGUCACACUGCCGCUACAAGACCCGUGGAGGGCCACCGGAACCGUUUCGCCGUUGCUGCCGGACCCAUGGCCGUCCGCCGGAGGUCCAGCGUUCCCUCCGAUGGACUAG